GGUGUGUGUGAGUUGAUAUUUUUUUUCUGCUUCUUUCUUUGAUUUUUUUCUUUUUCAUUUUAUUUUUCUUCAUCUUUUCUGCUCAGCCGUGUGUUCGCCGUUUCUCUUUCCCUUUCGGUUGUCUAUCGGGUUUCGGGCGGCUUGUAUGUGUCUCUGACUCUGUUCAACUAAUGUUUUAUACAAAACUUUAUUAGCGUGCACACGUUUGAAAAUUUUAUAUACAGUAUGUGCGAUGAAAAUUCCAAUUCAGCAAAAUCAGCGCGAUUUAAAUCAGUUCAUUUUUGAUCAUUGACUGAAUAACAUGCGAAUGAACAUUUUUCAUGUAAAUUGUGCAGUGAAUUACGAAUUGAGUGCUAUUUUAUUGGAAUCCGUUGGACCGUCUCUCGGCACAUAGAAGAAAAUAAAAUGUAUUAAAAGAAACGAAAUCAAAGUCAACACUCAAUUUUUUUUUCAUGUUGUUUUUAUGUGGGUGUGUGUGUGUGUUUUUUUUACUUUCGGUAUGCGUCCGCAUCAAAUAAAUAAAUAGAAAUUGAAACUGACAGACGUGGACGCCGAAUAGAAAGGAGUAAAAUCACCAAAAUAAAACAAAAGCCAAAUAUACAUGCGCAUGUUGAAAAUCAAAUUUGCCGUUUCCAAUCCGACAUCACUGAGCCGAGAGAGGGCAAGAGUAUUGACGAAACAACAACAUCAACAGCAGCAGCAGCAGCAGCCGCAGCAGCAACCACACAAUUCAAAACAUGAAAAAUCCGAAAUUAUUACCGCCCAAUAUAACAACACGGGUGCUGUUGGUGUUUCCAAAAAAUGAUGAUGUUUGCGAUAUUCUUCAAGAUGCGUGCAGUCGACUCGAAAUGGACACAUUUCUAUCACUAACAUUACCCGAAGCAAUUGAAUCGUUUCAAAAUAUUACGAAUGGUGGACAUAAUUUGAUUAUCGUUGACGGUCGGCUACCACAGAUUCUUGAUCCAGAAACUGUAGCUCG